ACCGUCUUUAUCUGGGGUUGUGAGCUUACUCAGUGAUCGUGUAGUGAGAGUAAGACUGCUAUCACCAAUAGUUAAAACAAUACCGCACCGCUUGGAUGUAAAUCUGGGUCUGGGUGCAAUUUAUGGAACC